CAGGGAAUCUUGCACAAUGGGCGAAAGCCUGAUGCAGCGACGCCGCGUGGGGGAUGAAGGCCCUAGGGUCGUAAACCCCUUUCAGCAGGGACGAAAAUGACGGUACCUGCAGAAGAAGGCCCGGCCAACUACGUGCCAGCAGCCGCGGUAAGACGUAGGGGCCAAGCGUUGUCCGGAAUUAUUGGGCGUAAAGAGCUCGUAGGCGGUUGCGUAAGUCGGAUGUGAAAACUCGAGGCUCAACCUCGAGACGCCAUCCGAUACUGCGCUGACUCGAAUCCAGUAGGGGAGUGUGGAAUUCCUGGUGUAGCGGUGAAAUGCGCAGAUAUCAGGAGGAACACCUAUGGCGAAGGCAGCACUCUGGGCUGGCAUUGACGCUGAGGAGCGAAAGCAUGGGUAGCAAACAGGAUUAGAGACCCCCGUAGUCC
rnacentral:rRNA from 1 species